UGUGAAGAAACUCAUCUUAUAUAGAGAGAUAUGAUAGAGUCCUUGUCUAGGUCAAAUACCUAGUCAAGGCUUAUCCAAACAUGGCAAGUUAAGGGGUGCCCAACUCUUGAGCACCUCCUCCUUAUUAUCAUAUAUGGAUCACUAGAAAAGGGUGCAUAAUAUGUACCCUAAAAUCCACAAAAAUUUCAAAAAAAAUUUGGAUAGAUUCGGUGCAAAAUUGAAAGAGUUUUGGAUUUCUAAAACUCUAUCUCAUAGAAUUCAAAAUCCAAACUUAUUCCUUUUUGAUUUGAUCCAAACCACCUUCCAUAUAAGAAAGAAGAGAGGAGACCUUUUGUGAACGUGGGAGAGACCUGGGAGAGGACUUUUGUUGCACAAAAUAAGAGGAGAUUGGCAUUGAAUGAGAGAGAAGGCAUGGGGAAGGCUUAUGUGGUGCAAGGUGGAAUCCUAGUCUUACUAGGAUUCUAUCUUAUGAUUUAUUUUAAUUUGAUUUCUCAAAUCAAAUCAAACCAAAAUUAGAUCAACAUAAUUAAAAUAGGUAUUAACCCAAUUAAAAACCUAAUUUAAUCAGAUUAAAUUAGAUUUAAAUCUGAUUUAAUUUUUUAAUCAAAUUAGAAAUUAGAUUGACCCAAGUCCUAGUUGAACUAGGACUAGUUUUUCCUUGCACUUGGCUUAUCCAAUAAACCAAUUGGACUUGAUCCAAUCAAGCCCAAACCAAAUCUAAUUAAAUUAUAUUUAAUUAAACUUAAUCUCAGCCCAUUGGCUUAAUCAAAUUAAGCCAAUUAGCAAUCAAAUUGCUAAUCGAUCCUCCUGCAACACUUGCACUAGGUUAAAUGUCAAUCGUAUUGAUCAUUUAACCCUAGAACGAUUCUUAAUCGUUGAUCAACCAUCCAAUCGGAUCAUGAACUCUAAUGUGUGUGAUCUCAUAGGUUCGAACCUAAACUGAUAGUACAUGCAAAUUUCUGUACCAAUCGAAGUGACCAUCUAGCAAUGGUACCCGACGACUAGAUAGGUUGAAUGUGUAAAACAACAUCCUUAGAACCCAUGCGGAUAUAGUUUUCAUAUAAUUCAUCCCCUUGACCAAAAUGAUCAUAGGACACCCCAGAGUUCAACUGUCAACUCUGAUCAGGUUGUCCACAUUGUAUUUCAAAAUAUCAAAUCCAUCUGAUGGAUUACCUUGGCCAAGGUUUUGCUAAAUUGAAAUACAGUGACUCAUUCUUCUCCAACUCUUGGAGUGGUCAAUUCCAUCUCGAUCACACUCUAACUUCACAAGUACUUGACUGUGCCCAGAAGCCUUCCAUCCCUGAAUUAGAAAUUUAGUUAGUCCAGUACCAAAGCACAGUGAGUUGCUUGCAAGUCACUGAGGCGAUCUCAAGUCUAAGGGAUACUUAUACC
rnacentral:lncRNA from 1 species